GGCCAGUAGGGUGCCUAGGAAACAGGAGUCAAAUGGGUGGGACUGGAAAGAAGAGAGGAUUGCCCUUUGCUGGGAGCCAGCAGUUGGGGAGAGAGCUGUGGAGCGGCCCAGCCAGUCCCAGACCCUUAACGAUUCCAAACUUGCAGCAGAGACUGAUUUCUCCCUGGAAAAUCUGAGAUGACUCCAGAGCAGGCUUCGAUAACAGCCUGCUCCCAGUUACAGUUUGCUGCUUGCUCUGCUUGGCUUGGCAAUGGGAACAUCCUAAAAACAGCUCUAUCCAUGGAGGUACAAAGCUGCCUCCUCCUCCUCCAGUCCUGGGGAAGUCAAGAAAGAAUGGGGUGGGAGGGAGGAGGAGAAGAAGAGAAAAAAAUCCUCCUGCGUCUGGAGAACUGACUGCCUGGGAACUUUUCUUUGUCUCACGGCAAGGAAUACUGCACCAUGACCCAAUGAAGUUUGAGAACCAAUGAUCUAGUGCCCUGGAAACAGCAACUGUUUUAAAAGGCAU
rnacentral:lncRNA from 1 species